rnacentral:lncRNA from 1 species
UGUACCAACCCAUCUACUCUGAAAUUCUGUGAGAGAAGAGCAGAAUUUUAGAAGCAUAUUCACCCUGCUUUGCAAUGACACAAAACAGCCCCAAUUUAAAAUAAACUAUGAACCUUGGUGGGCAGGUUUAGAGCUUUACUAUCCAUUUUGCUCUUCUGCCCCAGUUCUGCCCAUUAGUUGUAGAAUUCAUUCCACUGCCUUUUUCAGCCCCAAAGACACUGGAAAAAAAUAAAAUAAAAAGCAAACCACAGCAUUUUCAGGCCUCCCACUGGUUUUGCCUUUCUUCCCCCCACGUAUUGUUUUUGGGAAGGGCUGUUUCAGCCACAGCGCUGUCAAGAAAACAAGGUGGUUUCCCUUGACCCUUGGCAACCAACACAUGCUUUUUCCUAUGCUUUGGUGCAGAAGCCCACAAGUGAUUUUUAAAAAUAAUAAAAUUCUUCUCUAUAAAUAAACCCUUAUGCUUUCUGCUGUGGGUCUUGGAUGAGUUUCUUCUUUCUGAACUCAGUAAGGGCUAAGUUCCCCUCCACAGAGGAACUGCACAUUGUGAAGCAAGGGAUAUUUUGGUGAAUCACCUGCCAUUGCGUUUUCCACCAAUGCAGGAAUGGCAAAGUUCUGGAACUUUUACUUAAAGAUCCACCAUUCCUCAAGAAGACCUAUAGCCUCCACGGAAUACCCUAUCCCCUCUUCCUCUAGAGAUUUUACUACUGCUACCGUUACUGGUUUUCCAGAGUCUGACAAAUUAAGCAUUUGUAAGAAUUGACUCAGUGACCACAGAGCAACAGAAAGAGGAUGAGUUUUAGAGUCCAGAGACCUGGGUGU